GACGAACGCUGGCGGCGUGCUUAACACAUGCAAGUCGAGCGGUAAGGCCCUUUCGGGGGUACACGAGCGGCGAACGGGUGAGUAACACGUGGGUGACCUGCCCUCAGCUCUGGGAUAAGCCUGGGAAACCGGGUCUAAUACCGGAUAUGACUCCAUGACGCAUGUUGUGGGGUGGAAAGCCUUGUGCGGCUGAGGAUGGGCCCGCGGCCUAUCAGCUUGUUGGUGGGGUGAGGCCUACCAAGGCGACGACGGGUAGCCGGCCUGAGAGGGCGACCGGCCACACUGGGACUGAGACACGGCCCAGACUCCUACGGGAGGCAGCAGUGGGGAAUCUUGCGCAAUGGGCGAAAGCCUGACGCAGCGACGCCGCGUGAGGGAUGACGGCCUGGUGUAACUCUUCUAGCUCCGACGAAGACGAGAGGUGACGGUAGGAGGCGAGAAGAAGACGACCGGA
rnacentral:rRNA from 1 species